GCGGCUUUCUCGGGCAAAGGCCGAGAGCCGGACGACACAUUGGCAGCCCCAGCGAAAAUCUGCCAGCCCGGGGGGCCCAGAGUCUUUCUCUGCAAGGGGAGUUCCCUCCCGAAGGUUUUGGCGCGGCCUUUGCACCCAGGAAUCUCCACCGCUGGAGCCCCUGGAACCGGAGUCGACAGCCUGAGCCCAGAGCAACCAGUCCUGGAUGCUAGGGGCCUUCGGACAUCCUAUCCUCACCUUCCUGGUCUGAGAGGGGAGGUCCUGGGCCAGGCAGGGGUUGUGUCCACGCAAGUCUGAGAAGCGAGAGUCCCUUUGACCAAUCCACCGUGGCCCCGGAAGACUGAAGGCUCGGAGGCCUCCGGUGUUUGCUCCUCUAGGGGAUCCCGCCCAGGGAUGAUGCACCCACCAGAGAGGCAGAUCCUUUUGAGGAGAAUGAGGGCGUGGCUACAACUCUGCUCUCGCUCCAGUACUUUCUGGGAAAAGGCAAAAACGGGUCCCUUACUGGAAGGAGCUGGUCCAACGUCCUCACUUCACGGAGAAGGAAAAGCUCAUCCCCGGAGGAAGGGUUUUGCCCCCAGCUCCUGCAACCAGUUAAAUAAUUAUGGAGUCCCCUUUCCUUGGACCCCAUUUUGGCCGAGGAUCCGUAGACUACCGAAGGAGGAGGCAGAGGGAGCAACAGAAGCAGGCGGCGCAAUGGCGAAAGGUCGCAGGCAGCCAGGAGCCCGCAUACACAGACAGUCACGAAGGGCCUCGCUCACGGACGCGCUCCGGCAGACACGCCCAAACUCCACCGGCUCCCACUCCAUUCUUCUCGCAGUUGGGCUAGGAUGGAAUCCUUUCUAUUCCUUAUUUUGAUGAACGCCUUGCAAUUGUCGGGAAAGGGGCUGCGUGAGGUGGUGGUAGAGGCCUGACACAUACCCCUGCCUGCCCACUCGGCAGUGUCCCGCGCCCUUGGCCUGGGCCUCAGGCUCCUUAGGGACUGUAGAGCUGGGUGUCUGCGCUUCUGUGUGUGUGCCUGGAUCUGGCUCUCUGGCGCUCUCUGUCUCAGUCUAGCUCUUUCUCCCUCAGCCGUUCUCUUGGGCUCUGUGUCUCUGAUCGAGUACGUUGGACUCCUUUUCUUUAGGAAAAUUGUAUGAUUCUCCGUCCUCGCUGCUCAAACUUGAUCUAGUUCCCUGGAAUGUGUGUAUGGGUACCAGGGCCCCUUGGGAAUUUGGUGAGAGCCCGCUCAGGGGUUCUCCUGGCCACCCCCCCAAUAAAUUCCCCUUUUUCCCAACCUAGCCA
rnacentral:lncRNA from 1 species